AUCCCAUUAUUAUUCAUUUAACAAUGAUUGAACCAAACAACACAUUAGAGGACAGCCUUAACCUAAAGCCCACAUGGAUCCUUGGGCCAGGCCGCCAAACAGGCCAGCCCGCUGCAUCUCACAGUUCAGUUGACCCCUGCGUGAAACUGCGGAUUGUUUUCACCGGAUAUUUCUGCGUUGGACGUGGACACUGGAAAGCGUCGCCGGGUCGCCGUCAAACUCGCUGCCACGUCGGUCCGAACCAAAUCCAGCACCCUGCACCCUCUUCCUCCAUCGCACCCUAUCCUCCUCCUCCCCGGUCCGGCGGUCCCCACCGGUCCACCACGGCACCACCGUCUCCCCGCCCCCCGCGUCCGAUCACCGCACCGGCGAACUCGGCGAGCCGCUCGUCGCUGCACGCUAAGCUGGGAAUGGCCGCUGCGCUCGCCAGCUCACCGCUUGUUCACCUAUCCACCUCCCGCCUCCGCCUCCCCAGGCCCCGGGCCUCCUCCAGUUCCGCUCCAGGCUGCUCGAUCGGCGUGUGCUUGGGAUGGAGGCUGAAGGUCGGGUGGAGGGCUCUGAGGCGGUGCGACCGGCUUCGAUGCUUCUCCACCGACGGCGACGGCGUGGAGGAGGGGGAGAAGCGUGGCGAGGAGGAGGCCUCGGCGACGGCGGCCCCGGCCCCGGACCCAGCCCCAGCGGAGACACAGGUGGGCGCUGCGGAGGAGCUGGCGUCUGAGCGGAGCCGAUCAGGGAGCUUUUCGUCCUCAUCCUCGUCCGGGAAUCCUGGUGUAUCAAGCGAGCCACCACUGUUGAGUUUUAGUGUUGAUAAUAUCGAUACAGUUAAACUAUUGGAACUUCUAGGCCCGGAAAAGGUUGACCCAGUUGAUGUCAUGGCAAUUAAGGAAAAACUCUUUGGUUAUACGACAUUCUGGUUGACAAAAGAAGAGCCUUUUGGUGAUCUCGGUGAAGGAGUCCUUUUCAUUGGGAAUCUCCGUGGGAAGAGGGAGGAAAUCUUUGCAAAACUUCAAAGGCAACUACGCGAACUUGCUGGUGAAAAAUACAAUCUUUUUAUGGUGGAGGAACCCAAUUCAGAAGGGGAUGACCCACGUGGGGGACCACGUGUUAGUUUUGGUUUGCUUAGGAAGGAAGUUUCUGAGCCUGGACCUACUACCCUAUGGCAGUAUGUCAUUUCUCUGUCACUUUUCCUUCUCACUAUGUUCUCCUGUGUUGAGCUAGGAAUUGCAUCAAAGAUUAGCAGUCUUCCACCAGAAAUUGUUUCAUAUUUCACUGAUCCAAAUUCUACUGGACCCCCUCCUGAUAUGCAACUUCUGCUCCCAUUUGUGGAAUCGGCUUUGCCAGUGGCUUACGGUGUCUUGGCUAUCCAAUUAUUUCAUGAAAUUGGACACUUUUUGGCAGCAUUUCCAAAAAAUGUGAAACUAGGCAUUCCUUUCUUUAUUCCGAACUUCACCCUUGGAACUUUUGGUGCAAUUACUCAGUUCAAGUCCAUUCUUCCGGAUCGAAAGACAAUGUUUGACAUAUCAAUGGCUGGUCCUGUGGCUGGAGCUGCACUUUCCUUUUCAAUGUUCUUUGUAGGCUUAUUACUCUCUUCAAAUCCUGUUGGGGCAAGUGAUUUAGUAGAAGUACCUAGCCAGCUGUUCCAGGGUUCAUUAUUGCUUGGACUCAUUAGUAGAGCAACACUUGGAUACAGAGCUAUGCAUGCUGCUACAGUUUCGAUCCACCCUCUAGUGAUUGCAGGCUGGUGUGGUUUAACUACUACUGCAUUUAAUAUGCUUCCUGUUGGAUGUCUUGAUGGUGGAAGAGCAUUACAGAAAACAGGGUUGUACUCAGCUUCGCAUGAUGACGGGGCUACCACCUUCUGCUUUUGAGACUGCCAGGUUAUGAUGUUGCUGCUGAGGAAGAACAGGACACUAGAGGUACUCUUCCUUGUAUCAAUAUCUCCAGCAAGGUCACUGUCACUAUAACCUUCAAGCUGUGCCUCCUUCGUCCUCUAGUAGUGGCAACCGUAGUGAAGAGUCCUUGCAAUUUACCUGAGCACUCUCUUUACUGCUGCCAUAUGUCCAGUGGUUUCUCAAUGAAUCUGCUUAUGUACCCCAUUGAGAACGCCAAAUCUGGCCUUGAAUUCACCAAAUAGCACAGAGAACCAACAAUGAACCUAUACCGAGGAGCGUCAACAGCAGGGACAAAGCUUGACUUAGCUUCAACCUGGGCUCCAUUGGGGUGUUGCUUGGAUUGCAGCCUGACAAACCCUAGAUCACUCAUCUGGCUUACAGUGAUCCCCAUCUCAGAUUGUGCCACCUCCAGGCCAAGGGUGCUUUUGGCAAGGAUGCUUUGUUUGGAUUUGGCCUCACAACAUACUCGUUGCUUGGACUAGGAGUGCUUGGAGGACCACUGUCUCUUCCUUGGGGUUUGUACGUGCUAAUUUGCCAGAGAACACCGGAGAAACCAUGCUUGAACGACGUAAGCGAUAUUGGAGGUUGGAGGAGGACGGCCUUGAUAGCUUCAGUGUUUCUUGUUGUUUUGACUCUCAUCCCGUUGUGGGAUGAACUCGCGGAGGAACUAGGUGUAGGGCUUGUUACUUCGUUCUGAGAUACGGUCCUUACCGAUAGAAUUAGGCCGUGAUGUAGCUCAAUUUUGUAUUGAAAUGUAGCGUCCCAUAGCGGGACUGCUGUAAAGGCAUGUGCAGUUUCCUGAUUAGGUGAGCAAUGAUAUCACCUAUGCGAGUGUCAUGAAAUUGUGCCAAGACGCUGACGAUUAUUAUCAAUUACAUACAUGUACGCACAUUUUGACCAUACGAGUACAGAUACACACAACCUAC